rnacentral:pre_miRNA from 1 species
GUAGUACUCCCUCCGUCCGGAGAUACUUGUCAUCAAAAUGAAUAAAACGGGAUGUAUCUAGAUGUAUAUUAGUUCUAGAUACAUCUUUUUUAUCUAGUUUGAUGACAAGUAUUUUCGGACGGAGGGAGUACUUG